UGGGGAUAUAGCUCAGUGGUAGAGUGCUUGCCUAGUAUGCGAGAGGCCCUGGGUUUGAUUCCUUGCACCUAA
rnacentral:tRNA from 1 species